rnacentral:lncRNA from 1 species
GAGGGAAUUCUCCUGUUAAGGUGUAGUGCAAGGUCCUGGUGGGUGCUUGGGCUCAGAUUCCCAGUGGGCCGCACCAACACCUCUCCAGCAAAAAUGGAGUCCUGACGCAUACAGCCUCAUUACAGAUGGGUAGAUUGCAAGUUCAGCUCACGCCUUGACCUUGCUGACCCCUUCACAGAGAAGAUGGGACCAACUCACAAGGCCUCGUUCCUUCUUUUUGGGUGUAAGCCAGCUCCAUAGUGGGCUCACUGACACUGAGGGAGGGGGAAAUAAAGUUAUUGACCCCACCUUAACCAACACCUCCUUAUGCCUCACUGAUGCUGAUUGGGUGUGGGGCCUCAGUUCCUUACUCACUGGUGCAAGGGUAGGGAGAAGGAACACAGGAAUGCUGACUAGCACUGCCUCAUGCCGUAUUGUUCAAUUUCAGUCUGUUGCUGCCAGUUGGAUGUGGAUGUUAAAUCCCCAUUGGGCCCCGCUGACAGUAGCAGUGGGGGAAAUUAUAGUGUCAACUCUGCUCACACCACAUUGUUCCUUCUUUUUGCUGCCAAUUGAGAGUGGAGGUUCAGCUACCUGCUAGUUCCUGCUGACACCUGGGACAGGCAGGAGGGACGUGGAGCGCUGAUUUGUUCUGACUAACACAGCUUCAUUAAGUCUCAUUGCUGCUGGGUGGGAGUUGAAGCUCAGCUUGCUGAAUCUUACUGAACAUGGAGUACCAGCUGAUUCUACUGGGUGGCGGGAUGGAAGACCAGCUCCCUACUCGGCUCCACCUAUAUUAACUUGGCUGGGCAAUCAGACCAUCACCUGCUUCUGCUAAGCAUGGAAUGGAAGAUCAGAUCUCCACUUGAUUAUACCAAUCCUACUCCACCAGGGGAACCAGAAUACUUCUGGCUGUUUCUGUGAGGUUGGGGGGAAUAUCAGCUCUCUGCUCAGGCCAGCUAAAACCAAAGAGUUGAGGGGCUGGCCCCGUGGCUGAGUGGUUAAGUUCGCGCGCUCCGCUGCAGGCAGCCCAGUGUUUCGUCAGUUCGAAUCCUGGGCACGGACAUGGCACUGCUCAUCAGACCACGCUGAGGCAGCGUCCCACAUGCCACAACUAGAAGAACCCACAACGAAGAAUACACAACUAUGUA